CUGCAGCCCGAGUGGUGAUCGAUUUUAUUGAGCCUAAAGCGUCCGUAGCCGGACUAGUAAACCCUUGGGUAAAUUGGGCAGCUUAACUGUCCAAAUUCCGAGGGGACUGCUAGUCUUGGGACCGGGGGAGGUCAGAGGUACUCAAGGGGUAGGGGCUAAAUCCUGUAAUCCUUUGGGGACCACCAGUGGCGAAGGCGUCUGACUAGAACGGAUCCGACGGUAAGGGACGAAACCCUGGGGCGCGAACCGGAUUAGAUACCCGAGUAGUCC
rnacentral:rRNA from 1 species